rnacentral:rRNA from 1 species
GAUGAACGCUGGCGGCGUGCCUAAUACAUGCAAGUCGAGCGAACAGACGAGGAGCUUGCUCCUCUGACGUUAGCGGCGGACGGGUGAGUAACACGUGGAUAACCUACCUAUAAGACUGGGAUAACUUCGGGAAACCGGAGCUAAUACCGGAUAAUAUAUUGAACCGCAUGGUUCAAUAGUGAAAGACGGUUUUGCUGUCACUUAUAGAUGGAUCCGCGCCGCAUUAGCUAGUUGGUAAGGUAACGGCUUACCAAGGCAACGAUGCGUAGCCGACCUGAGAGGGUGAUCGGCCACACUGGAACGGAGACACGGUCCAGACUCCUACGGGAGGCAGCAGUAGGGAAUCUUCCGCAAUGGGCGAAAGCUUGGCGGAGCAACGCCGCGUGAGUGAUGAAGGUCUUCGGAUCGUAAAACUCUGUUAUUAGGGAAGAACAAAUGUGUAAGUAACUAUGCACGUCUUGACGGUACCUAAUCAGAAAGCCACGGCUAACUACGUG